rfam:Ovis aries breed Texel chromosome 14, whole genome shotgun sequence.
CCUGGUGGCUCAGAAGGUAAAGCAUCUGCCUGCAAUGCGGGAGACCUGGGUUCGAUCCCUGGGUCAGGA